AGAAAAAACUAUUUAAAGAAUUAUUUGAGAAUCAUAUUCCACAUGCUCUAGGAAUAUUUGAGAAACUUCUGAAGUCUCGUGGUGGAAAAUAUUUUGCAGACAACAAGGUAAAUGAGGUUGUUCAUAUACCAUACUAUGCUCCCUUGGUCUGUUUCAUAAAAGUAUUGAUAGAACUGAUAAAAUAUGUGAUAUGUCAGGGCCUUCGCUCUACCCUAACCUAACCCUAACCCUGACCCUAACCAAAUUAAUAAAAAAAUCCAAAGAGAAACAACUUUUGAAAUUGAUCAAAUGACUUAACGUCAGUUUGUAGAUGGAAACAGGUGAAGACCGUAAUAUCAUGCACGGGACGGAUCGUCUGUCAAAAGGACUUGGCUAUACAGCCUCGUUUUCGGCCUUGAGAUAUUCCUUUAUCUUGUUACUGAUGACCUGGUUG